ACACGCUGACGGAAAUUGAUUGUUUAGUCCAACAUUCUCGUUUCCCUGAAAUAAAGAGACCAUCGUCGUGAAAAAAUUUGGGCACACCAUUUGCGCCUCCCACUCACCAUCACUCACCUCCGUCGCCGUCCUGCUCCGGCGAGCCAACCACCGCAUCGGCACCAGAUCAUCCUCCUCUCUCUAUUGCACGCCGUGGAACCGCUCAAUCGCUGCCCCACCACAAACCCUAGCAGCCCAAUAUCCCGCCUUGUCCCCUCCGGCGCCGGCCGCCUGAAUUUCACCUCCGCCGCUACCUCGUCUCCCACACCAUCGCCUCCUCCUCCCCUUCCUGUCUCCGUCCCCAGUUCCUUCCAUCCUCGCCUUCCACAUCAGAUCGACGCCGGAGCCCCAUCCUCGCCGAUUCGAGAUGCGCUGCCGGCCAGGAGCCACGGCGUCGCGGCUGCUUGUUCGCCGGCGCGCGCGUGUACCGUUAGGACGGUGCGCGGCGCUCCGCCGAACUCGCUGCCUGCGUCGCGCGUGUGUCCGAGGGCGGUUGCUGCACGCCGGCGUGGCAGCAGGUCGCGACGGCACCGCCCGCCUUGCCCGUCGCCCGUCUCCAGCGGCUGAUGGGAAGUGUGAGAUGGUAAAGCUGUUGCCUCUGCUUUCUAGAGGAGUCCAUGUCCGUCGCCGCGUUUUUGUUCUGGCUGGUGCAUUUUUUUUUCCGGCAACGGCAUUGCGAGACGAGCACUAGGCCACCGGCGGCAGUGGAGGUGCUGAUGUGAUUAUGUAAUACUGUUUAAGCAUUUGGUUGGCCAAAUUAAGCUGGUUUGUUUGCUGUAGUAUCCUCAUCUUGAGCUUCGCCAUCUGCCUGUCUAGGGAAGUGCAACUGCAAGAUGAACACUGAUUCAGGGAAGUGGGAGAUGGCGAAGCUGCAGCUUUCUAGAGGAGCCGAGGGCUGGCCGUGUCCCUCGCUGCCUAUCUGGCUUCUUAAUUCUGGCUUUGGUGGUGGUGAUCUGUUUAUGUAACACCGUUUCAGGGAAGUGGAAGUGCGAGAUGGUAGUGGCUGCUGCUGCUGUUGAUUUGUAGCAGUGGCGGUGGUGUUGCAUGUUCUGGUAUGGGCAUUGCGAGACGAGCACUUGCCCAACGUCGGCAGUUGUGGCGGUGUGGUGAUGUGAUUAUGUAAUAUACUGAUUCAGGUCUUGCGAUGAUAAUAGUAAUAAUAUUCAGACUGUAAGUUGUAGCAGUAGUGUUGUCUGCAAGUAUAAAUCAAUUUUAACGCUUGUGUUGGACCAAAAUUUAAGCUGGGUGGCCCCAGUUUAGUUGGUACUUUCACAAUUUCG